rnacentral:rRNA from 1 species
UACGGAGGAUCCGAGCGUUAUCCGGAUUUAUUGGGUUUAAAGGGUGCGCAGGCGGGAGAUUAAGUCGGCGGUGAAAUUUUGCAGCUCAACUGUAAAAGUGCCUUCGAAACUGGUUUCCUUGAGUGUAGAUGAAGUAGGCGGAAUUUGUGGUGUAGCGGUGAAAUGCAUAGAUAUCACGAGGAACUCCGAUUGCGCAGGCAGCUUACUAAACUACUACUGACGCUCAGGCACGAAGGCGUGGGGAUCAAACAGGAUUAGAUACUCGGGUA